UUAGUAUAACCAACUGCAAAUCUGAGAUAAUUCUCUCUUGCGCAGUUAGCAUCGUCAUCGAGUGAUCAGGUGUUUUCAACUGUCCUAUCAAUUGUGCAUAUGCGGAAGUUUGAUUUGUACAGUUGCCGAUAAUACGGCAACGUGUUUCUUUCCAAUCGAUGCAGUCGCCACCAAGAGCAGUUGCUAUUUCGCAGGGCUUAACGUUCAUUUGCAUGCGGCCGCGCAAAAAAAAUUAUGACAUGUCCCGAUCCGUUGACUAUUUGGGGCUGUCAGGAGUGUGAGAGGUCUUGCGGAAACCCCAAACCCGUCGCCGUUAUGCAAUUUUUCUUGGGACUUGAAAAUGGUCUUGCAAACCAGAUACAUACCGCACCUUCCAAUCACCGAAAUGCCGCGCAAUGGGCCUAUCAUCAACAACUGCAUAGUCCUCUCAGCAGGGCGCCAUCCGAGGGAAACUGAGAAACGGCCGGAAAAUGCGCCGAUAAGGGAAUCGAACCUCGGCUACGUCGUAGAUCCGCACCACUUCCCUGCCACGCUUAGCGGUAUGAGCACUCUUCUCUCUCAAACUGGUAUGGCGAAAACAACUUGGAGGAACGAUGGAGAUACGAACAGGAACACAGAAACCAGGAAUGCCUAUCAGGAGCCCUGCGAAACACACGAACGAACGAAGAAUGCCUUACUUCUCACUUCUGGUCUCGGGUAAUACAAGGAUCAGAUAAAGGGGAAGGUCGAUUGUGACGCGAGUAUACUGCGGCUGACUACGCUAUAAUCCGUAACUUGAUUAUGAACGCCAGUCGUAACCUUUAGAAGAUACUGCCCUUUAAUCUAAUGCACAAGUAUUUCCUCAACACAUAGAAGUCAGAAAAGUAAGAAGAUCAGAAACCAAGAGACUAAUUCCUGACCGCUCUUAGAUAAUAGGCAUCACUCGAGCUUAUUUAGACUAGCAGAAGUACACGGCAUACUAGGGACUUAACGUACAACCAAUCACAGGUAGAGAGAUGACUAGAUAAUAACACGGAGACUCGUAUUUACAGGUGAAAGGCGGACAUCUUAGAGGCAUCCGGACGUACGUACGAUGUAGGAUAUCCUCCUCCCCACGUCAAAGUGUUGAAAAUCCUUGAAUGACUUUGUCGCUGUAUAUGAGCCGGUUCUCUCCUCACACCCCCCUUGCAGCUUUCGCUACGUCUUCGUAGCGAGACCAAGCGAUCCUCCACGCGGCUCCUUAUCCGCACUUUCCGAACGGCUUAUUCACCGAAAAUCGGAUUUAGAGGCUAACGCACUGGGCUCAAAGGCGAAGUGGACGUACCGAACCUUGAUCUGCUACCAUCUCAGCAGAGAGCUAUCCGAGGGAAAUUGAGAAACGGCAGAAAAAAUGUGCCGAUAAGGGAAUCGAACCCCGGCUACGUCGUAAGAUCGGCGUAGGCAGUACCAUUGCACCACGGCUCAAAGUGCUGAAAAUCCUUGAAAGACUUUGUCGAUGUAUGUGCGCCGCUUCUCUCCUCAAAGUCACAAGAAAAGGCUAGAUGCUGCCGAUGUUGAAUAGCCGCGGCUACCAAAUGUUUUGCUUUUGUUAAGUUUAGUUGUAAUAAUUCUGGUGAUGACAUUAUACUUCCAUAAAUGCGUAUUUGUACGUGAUUCGGUGCAAAUAAACGUACACGGCCUCCAGACGUUCGU